rnacentral:ncRNA from 1 species
AUGUAGUAGGAGACCAGGUUAGCACCCCCUUUGAUAAGGAUGAAAAAGGUCUAGUGGCCUUUAAAAUACAUAUACAGUUAAGGCAUUUAAUGCCACCUACUCUAUGGCAUUAAACUGGCUAGU